GAUGAACGCUGGCGGCGUGCUUAACACAUGCAAGUCGAACGGUGAAGGCGGAGCUUGCUCUGCUGGAUCAGUGGCGAACGGGUGAGUAACACGUGAGCAAUCUGCCCCUGACUCUGGGAUAAGCGCUGGAAACGGCGUCUAAUACUGGAUACGAGCUGCGAAGGCAUCUUCAGCAGCUGGAAAGAAUUUCGGUCAGGGAUGAGCUCGCGGCCUAUCAGCUUGUUGGUGAGGUAAUGGCUCACCAAGGCGUCGACGGGUAGCCGGCCUGUGAGGGUGACCGGCCACACUGGGACUGAGACACGGCCCAGACUCCUACGGGAGGCAGCAGUGGGGAAUAUUGCACAAUGGGCGAAAGCCUGAUGCAGCAACGCCGCGUGAGGGACGACGGCCUUCGGGUUGUAAACCUCUUUUAGCAGGGAAGAAGCGAAAGUGACGGUACCUGCAGAAAAAGCGCCGGCUAACUACGUG
rnacentral:rRNA from 1 species